UCCUCUGCCCCGAUGGAUGCUUUAUUUGG
rnacentral:piRNA from 1 species